CCUACGUGGAGCUGCAGUGAGGAAUAUUGGUCAAUGGGCGCGAGCCUGAACCAGCCAAGUAGCGUGAAGGAUGACUGCCCUACGGGUUGUAAACUUCUUUUAUAAAGGAAUAAAGUGAGGCACGUGUGCCUUUUUGUAUGUACUUUAUGAAUAAGGAGCGGCUAACUCCGUGCCAGCAGCCGCGGUAAUACGGAGGAUCCGAGCGUUAUCCGGAUUUAUUGGGUUUAAAGGGUGCGUAGGAGGACUGUUAAGUCAGCGGUAAAAGCCCGGGGCUCAACCCCGGCGAGCCGUUGAAACUGGCUGUCUUGAGAUGUCGAGUGGUAUGCGGAAUGCGCAGUGUAGCGGUGAAAUGCUUAGAUAUUGCGCAGAACUCCGAUUGCGAAGGCAGCUCACUGGACUGCAACUGACACUGAGGCUCGAAAGUGUGGGUAUCAAACAGGAUUAGAUACCCCAGUAGUC
rnacentral:rRNA from 1 species